CUUUCUUUGCUGGCGACCGGCGCACGGGUGAGUAACACGUAUCCAACCUGCCCUUUACUCGGGGAUAGCCUUUCGAAAGAAAGAUUAAUACCCGAUAGCAUAAUGAUUCCCCAUGGUUUCAUUAUUAAAGGAUUCCGGUAAAGGAUGGGGAUGCGUUCCAUUAGGUUGUUGGUGAGGUAACGGCUCACCAAGCCUUCGAUGGAUAGGGGUUCUGAGAGGAAGGUCCCCCACAUUGGAACUGAGGCACGGUCCAA
rnacentral:rRNA from 1 species